rnacentral:rRNA from 1 species
AUUGAACGCUGGCGGCAGGCUUAACACAUGCAAGUCGAGCGGUAACAGAGAGAAGCUUGCUUCUCUGCUGACGAGCGGCGGACGGGUGAGUAAUGCCUAGGAAUCUGCCUAGUAGUGGGGGAUAACUUGCCGAAAGGUAAGCUAAUACCGCAUACGUCCUACGGGAGAAAGGAGGGGAACUUAGGGACUUUCGCUAUUAGUUGAGAGUAGUUCGGAGUAGUUAGUAGGUGAGGUAAUGGCUCACCAAGACCGCGAGCCGUAACUGGUCUGAGAGGAUGAUCAGUCACACUGGAACUGAGACACGGUCCAGACUCCUACGGGAGGCAGCAGUGGGGAAUAUUGGACAAUGGGGGGAACCCUGAUCCAGCCAUGCCGCGUGUGUGAAGAAGGUCUUAGGAUUGUAAAGCACUUUAAGUUGGGAGGAAGAGCAGUUAACUAAUAUUUGACUGUUUUGACGUUACCGACAGAAUAAGCACCGGCUAACUUCGUGCCAGCAGCCGCCGUAA